rnacentral:sRNA from 1 species
CAGGCGCGGUGGAUCACGAGGUCAGGAGAUCGAGACCAUCCUGGCUAACACAGUGAAACCCCGUCUCUACUAAAAAUAUAAAAAAUUAGCUGCGCGUGGUGGCGAGCGCCUGUAGUCCCAGCUACUGGGGAGGCUGAGGCAGAAGAAUGGCAUGAACCCGGGAGGUGGAGCUUGCAGUGAGCUGAGAUAGUGCCACUGCACUCCAGCCUGGGCGGCAGAGCGAGACUCCAUCUCAAAAAAAAAAAAAAAAAGAAAAAGCAUGGCUUUUUAAAAAUUCUUGGCCCUUUGUCCUCUCUGGGAUUGGAGUUUGGGACAUAGAGUGGCUGGAUGGGCAGGUAGGGUAGAAGCCUGGCAUUUGUGUCCACACUUGGUGGGGCUGUCUCUCACUCAGGCGGGGAGACAACCCCUUCCCCAAGAAUGCUGAUGGGACUAUAUGCUACGACUCCACCCACUACAAGGAGACUUGGAAGGCUCUGGAGGCACUGGUGGCUAAGGGGCUGGUGCGGGCGCUGGGCCUGUCCAACUUCAACAGUCGGCAGAUUGAUGACAUACUCAGUGUGGCCUCCGUGCGUCCAGCUGUCUUGCAGAUGGCAGGUCCAGCGGAAAGUGAUCUGCAUCCCCAAAAGUAUCACUCCUUCUCGAAUCCUUCAGAAUAUCAAGGUGUUUGACUUCACCUUUAGCCCAGAAGAGAUGAAGCAGCUAAAUGCCCUGAACAAAAAUUGGCGAUAUAUUGUGCCUAUGCUUACGGUGGAUGGGAAGAGAGUCCCAAGGGAUGCAGGGCAUCCUCUGUACCCCUUUAAUGACCCGUACUGAGACCACAGCUUCUUGGCCUCCCUUCCAGCUCUCCAGCUAAUAAGGUCCUGCCACAACGGAAAGAGGGAGUUAAUAAAGCCAUUGGAGCAUCCA